rnacentral:rRNA from 1 species
AUGAACGCUGGCGGCGUGCCUAAUACAUGCAAGUCGAGCGAACAGACGAGGAGCUUGCUCCUCUGACGUUAGCGGCGGACGGGUGAGUAACACGUGGAUAACCUACCUAUAAGACUGGGAUAACUUCGGGAAACCGGAGCUAAUACCGGAUAACAUGUUGAACCGCAUGGUUCAACAGUGAAAGACGGUCUUGCUGUCACUUAUAGAUGGAUCCGCGCCGCAUUAGCUAGUUGGUAAGGUAACGGCUUACCAAGGCAACGAUGCGUAGCCGACCUGAGAGGGUGAUAGGCCACACUGGAACUGAGACACGGUCCAGACUCCUACGGGAGGCAGCAGUAGGGAAUCUUCCGCAAUGGGAGAAAGCCUGACGGAGCAACGCCGCGUGAGUGAAGAAGGUCUUCGGAUCGUAAAACUCUGUUAUUAGGGAAGAACAAAUGUGUAAGUAACUAUGCACGUCUUGACGGUACCUAAUCAGAAAGCCACGGCUAACUAAGUG